GAUGAACGCUGGCGGCGUGCUUAACACAUGCAAGUCGAACGAAGCACUUUAUUUGAAGCCUUCGGGUGAAUUAUUUUGUGACUUAGUGGCGGACGGGUGAGUAACGCGUGGGUAACCUGCCUCAUACACCGGGAUAACAGUUGGAAACGGCUGCUAAUACCGGAUAAGCAUACAGUACCGCAUGGUACAGUGUGAAAAACUCAGGUGGUAUGAGAUGGACCCGCGUCUGAUUAGCUAGUUGGUAAGGUAACGGCUUACCAAGGCGACGAUCAGUAGCCGACUUGAGAGAGUGAUCGGCCACAUUGGGACUGAGACACGGCCCAAACUCCUACGGGAGGCAGCAGUGGGGAAUAUUGCACAAUGGGGGAAACCCUGAUGCAGCGACGCCGCGUGAAGGAUGAAGUAUUUCGGUAUGCUAAACUUCUAUCAGCAAGGAAGAAAAUGACGG
rnacentral:rRNA from 1 species